UAUGAAAAGGAAUUUUUAUAAAUAUUUUAGCACAUAUUAUAGUAUUUCAUUUUCUAUAGAAGUCAUUAGAUUUUAUCAUCUUUCUGUGCAGUGGUAAAACUUGUUUGUAAUUUAUAAACAAGUUUGAGUUGUAAAUUUACAACUUAAGUUUGUAAAUUACAACUCAGAAGCCAUAUUCUCCAUCAGUGGCUGACAUUGGCAAAGUUGAAAAUGAGUUAAAAAUCAUGAGGGGUAAAUGGUGGUUGGAAAUGUAUUCAGCAAAUUACUGCUCUGCACACAUUGCCUUAGCUUAACACGGCCCCUCCUCAUACCGCAGUGUAGGAAACGAGGGUCUCAGCUCCUCGCCCACCAGAUUUACACUGAGCACAUUCCUUCCCGUGCUCUUCGCUCGUCACACGCUUCUCCAUGGCUACAGCCAUUCGCUUUCUUUUUAAUCUUUACAGUGUUUAGUAUUUGCCGCUAUCAAUGAAUGCAAUAGUUCUCCAAUUUUUUGAAAGUCUCAGAUCCUUUUGGAGAUGUGGUAUAUACAAGAGCUUGGCUAUUCAGAUAAGCACGUAGAUUUCUGAGGAAUUUUUAUACACGUUCAGAAGGUUCAUGAAGGUUCUUUGAACUCCAGGUUCUAAACCCAUAGCAGGAAAAGGAAAAAAUAAACUUGACUAUGUUUAUUCUAGACAGAAUUAGCAAGGCAGCUGUGAGAGAAAUUUAAAAAUAGAGCAUAUUUGAAAAAUCUAUAUUCAGUUACCUACUGUACAUCUCCAUUUGGACAUCUCUGAGGGCAGUUGUCAGUUUCCUCCUUCCACCCCGACUGGUCUCUCUUCCAGUCUUCCUCUCCCUGGUCAUUGGCACUGUCCAGUUGGAGCCUAAACCAGAGCCACUGCUAGCUGUCUCCUUCCCUUUCCGUCCCUUGGUCAGCUGGUUCUGUCAGUUUUACCUCCAUCACCAUUCUACAUGGGUCAGGUUCUCCUCUCUUGCUCCUUGUCUAGUCCAGACUGUGGCCUCAAAGAGAGACAAGUGUUAACUGACCCUUAGGGUGUUUUAAAGUCAUCGGUGUCUUUAAAAUGCACAGAGCUCUUCCUCCUCUUCUGUUCCUUCCCUCCCUGGUCAGUUCAUUCCCCAAGGCAUUAAGUGCCAGGAGCACAGUGCAGGGGAGAGUAGCUUGUUUGAGUGUAGCCUACCGGUAGGAAGAGCUUAGUUUGAGGAUCAGAAAUAGUGGAGGAACUUUACAUACAAAAAUGUUCAUUAUUUGUGUUAUUUAAAAACUGAAAAGCCUAGAUUGUUUGGGAGGUUUGAUUGUCCAUACUGAAGACCUAUUGCAUGAUGCGUAAUAAACUAAGCUUAGACCUAGUAGCUUAAAAGCAUUCCGUGUUUGUUUAUGUGCCUAUUUAUUCAGGUUGUGUCAACAGGGUGGCCGGGACCUGGGCUGAGGGUUGGCUGGGCUUGGUGCAGACUUCAGCUGUGUUUGGGUCUGUUGCACAGGUGGCAUCCGGGGCCGUCCACAGGCUCAGCUGCUCCCUGGGUUGUGCUGUCCUUGAGGUGAAGGCGUGGACACAAAAUAUACAUAAAUUUACUGAGUUUCAAAACAGUAAGAUAGCCAUCUCAUUUCCAACUCCCAGUAAAAUUCUGGAGGAUCUGAAUGGAUAAUUUGAUUAAACAGUGCUCUAUAUUAGAAUGGUGUUUUUGGCCCAGUCUGGCCUCUCCGAAUCCUCCAGAACACCAAGAUAAUGGCCAAUAAGAGACUGUCUGCUCUCUUUGGCCACUGGACCCUAAUUGGAAAGAUCAACCAUAAACACAGGAAGAUGCUGGUAUACACGUGCAGGAGCGCAAGAGAUCUGUUCACACUCUAGAGGCCCAGAGAAUCUAGCUGAGAGCCUGGGUCCCACAGCAGUGUCCUGCACAAGUCCAUCUGAAGGUCUGGGGCCCAUGGUGAUGUCUCAUGCUUGUCUGUAUCGAGGAUCUGCACCCAAGAGACCCAAAGGCCAGCAGCAGAAGCUAGAAAGUCUGCGCCAGAGAGAUGAAGGAUCUGUGCCUUCAAGCUGAGCGAUCCGCACUGUAGCCAGGAAGCAACAUUCAAGGCGGAGAUCAGGGCUGUCCUGACAAGAACAGGAGCCAUUCCCAGCACAGUGAGGUCCUGAGUUCCUAUCCGAUGAGAACAGCCAAGUUCACAUCAGGAGAACCAACCU